GAUGAAGAACGUAGCGAAAUGCGAUAAGUAAUGUGAAUUGCAGAAUUCAGUGAAUCAUCGAAUCUUUGAACGCACCUUGCGCCUUUUGGUAUUCCGAAAGGCACACCUGUUUGAGCGUCAUGAAUACCUCAAUCUCCAUCUUUUCUUCGGAUUGAUGGGUGACUUGGAUGUUGAGCCCUGCUGGUAUGCUAUAUCAGCUGGCUUUAAACUUAUUAGCCGGCUCUGUACUGGAUCGGUUUGACUCGACGUGAUAAUAUUAUCGUUGAGGAUGCAUGUCUCAUGCAGCCGGAAAGUAUCAAAGCGGCUUCUAGCUUGCCUUUAGUGCACUUUUACAUUUUAGACCUCAGAUCAGGUGGGACUACCCGCUGAACUUAAGCAUAUCAAUAAGCGGAGGA
rnacentral:misc_RNA from 1 species